GACGAACGCUGGCGGCGUGCCUAAUACAUGCAAGUUGAGCGCUGAAGGUUGGUACUUGUACCAACUGGAUGAGCAGCGAACGGGUGAGUAACGCGUGGGGAAUCUGCCUUUGAGCGGGGGACAACAUUUGGAAACGAAUGCUAAUACCGCAUAAAAACUUUAAACACAAGUUUUAAGUUUGAAAGAUGCAAUUGCAUCACUCAAAGAUGAUCCCGCGUUGUAUUAGCUAGUUGGUGAGGUAAAGGCUCACCAAGGCGAUGAUACAUAGCCGACCUGAGAGGGUGAUCGGCCACAUUGGGACUGAGGCACGGCCCAAACUCCUACGGGAGGCAGCAGUAGGGAAUCUUCGGCGAUGGACGAAAGUCUGAUCGAGCAACGCCGCGUGAGUGAAGAAGGUUUUCGGAUCGUAAAACUCUGUUGGUAGAGAAGAACGUUGGUGAGAGUGGAAAGCUCAUCAAGUGACGGUAACUACCCAGAAAGUGACGGCUAACUACGU
rnacentral:rRNA from 1 species